UCUACGGGAGGCAGCAGUGAGGAAUAUUGGUCAAUGGGCGCGAGCCUGAACCAGCCAAGUAGCGUGAAGGAUGACUGCCCUACGGGUUGUCAACUUCUUUUAUAAAGGAAUCAAGUGAGGCACGGGUGCCUUUUUGUAUGUACUUUAUGAAUAAGGAUCGGCUAACUCCGUGCCAGCAGCCGCGGUAAUACGGAGGAUCCGAGCGUUAUCCGGAUUUAUUGGGUUUAAAGGGAGCGUAGAUGGGUUGUUAAGUCAGUUGUGAAAGUUUGCGGCUCAACCGUAAAAUUGCAAUUGAUACUGGCAGUCUUGAGUACAGUUGAGGUAGGCGGAAUUCGUGGUGUAGCGGUGAAAUGCUGAGAUAUCACGAAGAACUCCGAUUGCGAAGGCAGCUUACUAAACUGCCACUGACAUUGAUGCUCGAAAGUGUGGGUAUCAAACAGGAUUAGAUACCCUUGUAGUC
rnacentral:rRNA from 1 species